rnacentral:rRNA from 1 species
AAAAUGACUCUCGGCAACGGAUAUCUCGGCUCUCGCAUCGAUGAAGAACGCAGCGAAAUGCGAUACUUGGUGUGAAUUGCAGGAUCCCGCGAACCAUCGAGUCUUUGAACGCAAGUUGCGCCCUAAGCCUUUCGGCCGAGGGCACGUCUGCCUGGGUGUCAUUC